rnacentral:rRNA from 1 species
UAGGGAAUCUUCCGCAAUGGACGCAAGUCUGACGGAGCAACGCCGCGUGAGUGAAGAAGGAUUUCGGUUCGUAAAACUCUGUUGUUAGAGAAGAACAGCGCAUAGAGUAACUGUUAUGCGUGUGACGGUAUCUAACCAGAAAGCCACGGCUAACUACGUGCCAGCAGCCGCGGUAAUACGUAAGUGGCAAGCGUUGUCCGGAUUUAUUGGGCGUAAAGCGAGCGCAGGCGGUCAAUUAAGUCUGAUGUGAAAGCCCCCGGCUCAACCGGGGAGGGUCAUUGGAAACUGGUUGACUUGAGUGCAGAAGAGGAGAGUGGAAUUCCAUGUGUAGCGGUGAAAUGCGUAGAUAUAUGGAGGAACACCAGUGGCGAAGGCGACUCUCUGGUCUGUAACUGACGCUGAGGCUCGAAAGCGUGGGUAGCAAACAGG